rnacentral:rRNA from 1 species
GAUCCUGGCUCAGAAUCAACGCUGGCGGCGCGCUUAACACAUGCAAGUCGAACGAGAAAGCCCGCAAGGGUGAGUAAAGUGGCGUACGGGUGAGUAACACGUGGGUAAUCCACCCUCUGGUGGGGAAUAACUUUGGGAAACCGAAGCUAAUACCGCAUAAGACCGAGAGGUGAAAGGGCGAAAGUUCGCCGGAGGAGGAGCCCGCGGCUGAUUAGCUAGUUGGUAGGGUAAAAGCCUACCAAGGCUUUGAUCGGUAGCCGGCCUGAGAGGGCACACGGCCACACUGGCACUGAAACACGGGCCAGACUCCUACGGGAGGCAGCAGUGGGGAAUCUUGCACAAUGGGGGCAACCCUGAUGCAGCGACGCCGCGUGAGUGAUGAAGCCCCUCGGGGUGUAAAGCUCUUUCGGCAGGGACGAUAAUGACGGUACCUGAAGAAGAAGCUGCGGCUAACUACGUGCCAGCAGCCGCGGUAAUACGUAGGCAGCGAGCGUUGUUCGGAGUUACUGGGCGUAAAGAGUGCGUAGGCGGUGUUCCAAGUCUGUUGUGAAAUCUCCCGGCUUAACUGGGAGGGUGCGGCGGAAACUGGGACGCUGGAGUAUGGGAGAGGUAAGCGGAAUUCCUGGUGUAGCGGUGAAAUGCGUAGAUAUCAGGAGGAACACCUGCGGUGUAGACGGCUUACUGGACCAU